rnacentral:rRNA from 1 species
UACGUAGGGUGCGAGCGUUAAUCGGAAUUACUGGGCGUAAAGCGCACGUAGGCGGCUUGGUAUGUCGGGUGUGAAAUCCCCGGGCUCAACCUGGGAACUGCAUCCGAAACUGCCUUGCUAGAGUAUGGGAGAGGGAAGUGGAAUUUCCGGUGUAGCGGUGAAAUGCGUAGAUAUCGGAAGGAACAUCAGUGGCGAAGGCGACGUCCUGGACCAAUACUGACGCUCAGGUGCGAAAGCGUGGGGAGCAAACAGG